CAGUCGCCGCGGGAAUACGUAGGUGGCAAGCGUUGUCCGGAAUUAUUGGGCGUAAAGCGCGCGCAGGUGGUUUAAUAAGUCUGAUGUGAAAGCCCACGGCUCAACCGUGGAGGGUCAUUGGAAACUGUUAAACUUGAGUGCAGGAGAGAAAAGUGGAAUUCCUAGUGUAGCGGUGAAAUGCGUAGAGAUUAGGAGGAACACCAGUGGCGAAGGCGGCUUUUUGGCCUGUAACUGACACUGAGGCGCGAAAGCGUGGGGAGCAAACAGGAUUAGAUACCCCCGUAGUCCCUGUCUCUUAUAA
rnacentral:rRNA from 1 species